UGGUCAUUACCAUGGCUUCUAGAAUGUGGGUUCUGAUUUCCUGUGGACAUGACCAUAAUAAACACACGCAUACCGGUCAAUGUGUAUGCGUGUGUUUGCUAGCAUUCAGCCAAUCGGGGACACCG
rnacentral:snoRNA from 1 species